GGAUGGUUCAUUCAAAUUUCUGCCUAUCAACUUUCGAUGGUAGAGUAGUGGUCUACCAUGGUUUCAACGGGUAACGGGGAAUUAGGGUUCUAUUCCGGAGAGGGAGCCUGAGAAACGGCUACCACAUCCAAGGAAGGCAGCAGGCGCCGCAAAUUACCCAAUCCCGACACGGGAGGUAGUGACAAUAAAUACUGGAUACAGGGCUCUUUUGGGUCUUGUAAUUGGAAUGAGUACAAUUUAAAUCCCUUAACGAGGAACAAUUGGAGGGCAAGUCUGGUGCCAGCAGCCGCGGUAACUCCAGCUCCAAUAGCGUAUAUUAAAGUUGUUGCAGUUAAAAAGCUCGUAGUUGAACCUUGGGCCUGGCUUGGGCCGGUUCCGCCUUCACCGCGUGGCACUUGGUUCCGGCCGGGCCUUUCCUUCUGGGGAGCCGG
rnacentral:rRNA from 1 species